rnacentral:rRNA from 1 species
GAUGAACGCUGGCGGCGUGCCUAAUACAUGCAAGUCGAGCGAACGGACGAGAAGCUUGCUUCUCUGAUGUUAGCGGCGGACGGGUGAGUAACACGUGGAUAACCUACCUAUAAGACUGGGAUAACUUCGGGAAACCGGAGCUAAUACCGGAUAAUAUUUUGAACCGCAUGGUUCAAAAGUGAAAGACGGUCUUGCUGUCACUUAUAGAUGGAUCCGCGCUGCAUUAACUAGUUGGUAAGGUAACGGCUUACCAAGGCAACGAUGCAUAGCCGACCUGAGAGGGUGAUCGGCCACACUGGAACUGAGACACGGUCCAGACUCCUACGGGAGGCAGCAGUAGGGAAUCUUCCGCAAUGGGCGAAAGCCUGACGGAGCAACGCCGCGUGAGUGAUGAAGGUCUUCGGAUCGUAAAACUCUGUUAUUAGGGAAGAACAUAUGUGUAAGUAACUGUGCACAUCUUGACGGUACCUAAUCAGAAAGCCACGGCUAACUACGUG